rnacentral:lncRNA from 1 species
UUUUCUACUCCUGCCCGGGUUGUCGAUUGCUAUUUGCAUUUUCUGGAUCUGGGCUUUGAGAGCUUCAUUCUAUUGGAUCAAUCUUCUUUUCUCACCUUCGGCUUCCUAAUCUUAGAGAUCAUUGUUAAAUUCUGUAUUCCUCAGAUUUUCUUUCAAGGCAUUAAUCUCAUCUUGAUACACCUUUUUCUUUUCUCCCCAUGCUAAUCUUUCUUGUAUCUUGUCAUCAAAAGCUUGAACAUGAGGCCUUUUGGCAAGUCUCUUAGGUUCGGGUUCUGGCUCGGUGUUCACACAAGACCUCUUCUAAAACCAAGCAGCAUAGUUCGAUCCACUUCUCCCUUUGCGACAUCUGGAACCUGGGUGUCAUUCUUAAGAUAGUGACAGCUAUUCCAAUCUUGUUGAACUAAAGCUUCGGGCAAUGCGGCUUCUGGAUGCAACUCAAUGACUUGAGUAAUUAGAUCUUCAUCUUCGGGCACAAUCUGAUACCGUCCCAAUUGUCUCAAGACCCUCUGUGGUACAUACGGUUGAAUACUCAUUGCACCCAUUAUCCUCAUAUAACCUUUGGUCGCAGUCAUGUAUAUAGCCUCCAUCUUUU